rnacentral:misc_RNA from 1 species
GCCAUUUUCGUGAGGGGGUGAGAUGCCCCAUUUCGACUCGAUAUCCGAUGGUUCCAUCACAUGUAUCGCCCCAUCGCUCAUCCCCAGUGCUAUCUGGUUCGCCUCCGAUGGGUGGGCAGCUAUCACCAAAGGAUGCACCGUGCCACUAGAAGAUGAAAUAUAGGCAGACGAUGCGAUCCGACACCGGAGCCUCAGGGUGUCGAAAUCGAAAACUCCAACCGCG